rnacentral:rRNA from 1 species
GAAUAUUGCGCAAUGGCCGAAAGGCUGACGCAGCGACGCCGCGUGUGGGAGGAAGCCCUUCGGGGUGUAAACCACUGUCAGGGGGGCAGAAACUCGUCUGCGGGAAUAUCGCAGGCGAUUGACGGUACCCCCAGAGGAAGCCCCGGCUAACUCCGUGCCAGCAGCCGCGGUAAUACGGAGGGUGCAAGCGUUGUUCGGAAUUACUGGGCGUAAAGCGCGGGCAGGCGGUCUUUUAAGUCCCCUGUGAAACUCCGGAGCUCAACUCCGGACAUGCAGGAGAUACUGGAAGACUGGAGAUCGGUAGAGGCAGGCGGAAUUCCUGGUGUAGCGGUGGAAUGCGUAGAUAUCAGGAAGAACACCUGUGGCGAAGGCGGCCUGCUGGGCCGAUUCUGACGCUGAUCCGCGAAAGCGUGGGGAGCAAACAGG